rnacentral:rRNA from 1 species
UACAGAGGUCUCAAGCGUUGUUCGGAUUCAUUGGGCGUAAAGGGUGCGUAGGCGGCUCGGUAAGCCGGAUGUGAAACCUCCAAGCUCAACUUGGAGCGGCCAUUCGGAACUGCUGUGGCUAGAGUCUGGUAGGGGAACACGGAAUUCCUGGUGUAGCGGUGAAAUGCUUAGAUAUCAGGAGGAACACCAGUGGCGAAGGCGGUGUUCUGGGCCAGUACUGACGCUGAGGCGCGAAAGCGUGGGGAGCGAACAGG